rnacentral:lncRNA from 1 species
AUUGUCUAUUUGAACUUUUGCUCCUAGAAAUUAAAAUUUAGCUAUGAAUAUGCAGGAAAGCAGCAACCGUGACGGGUGUAACAAUGCUGCUGCGUAUAGUUUGGAUUUUUCUGGCGGACACUCUGAGGAUGGAGGCAUAUUCCACGUGAAACAUGGGCAGAGUUAGUUUUGAUGAUGUCAUCUGAUACAUUUAGGCUCAGUUGUUCUUUAAUAAUAUCAAUAGACGAACUUCUUUGGAAACUAUGGUGGUCCAAAAUGAAUAAAAUGUAUUCUGCAAAUCCAGUUGAUUCUCUGCGUUCUGGAGUCUGGUUUAUUUCGUAUUAGAGCUGCACAAAUUUAAAAAGAAACUCUUGUUGAUUCCAGCAUUUCAUGAUCGACGCCUGCAGGUACUUGCAGCUGUAUUGAUGUUCUGUAAUAUGUUUUUCGAAUCAUUGAUCUCAUUUUCAUUAUUUUGUUUCGUUAUGAUCUUAUCUCAGGAAUCCAGAAAAUAAAUCAUUCCUUUUUUCCCACCAUGAAUUGCUGCGCUGUUAGUUUCUUCUUAUGAUGGCUUCUCUGUAAAUGUGAAGGCUGAGAUGACUCGUGGCCUUCGUCUCGAGGUGUCGAUGCUGAUGUGUGUCAGCAGCCAAUGGCAGAUUGUCCGAUUGCUGCUGUGACUUUUGAUUUAUCAUAUUUGUCUGAUUUAGUUUCUUUGAAUCAUUCACGUUGCUAUUCUUAUGGAUUCUUGUUUCUUUUGUGGAGUUAUUUGUAUUAUUAAUUGAACCAUUUUAAGUAGGUACUUGUGUGUUUGCUUAAUUUUUUUAGGGUAAUUAGCCUUUCAGCAUUAUUGUGCC